rnacentral:rRNA from 1 species
GACGAACGCUGGCGGCGUGCUUAACACAUGCAAGUCGAACGGAAAGGCCCUGCUUUUGUGGGGUGCUCGAGUGGCGAGCGGGUGAGUAACACGUGAGUAACCUGCCCUUGACUUUGGGAUAACUUCAGGAAACUGGGGCUAAUACCGGAUAGGAGCUCCUGCUGCAUGGUGGGGGUUGGAAAGUUUCGGCGGUUGGGGAUGGACUCGCGGCUUAUCAGCUUGUUGGUGGGGUAGUGGCUUACCAAGGCUUUGACGGGUAGCCGGCCUGAGAGGGUGACCGGCCACAUUGGGACUGAGAUACGGCCCAGACUCCUACGGGAGGCAGCAGUGGGGAAUAUUGCACAAUGGGCGGAAGCCUGAUGCAGCAACGCCGCGUGCGGGAUGAUGGCCUUCGGGUUGUAAACCGCUUUCGCCUGUGACGAAGCGUGAGUGACGGUAAUGGGUAAAGAAGCACCGGCUAACUACGUG